rnacentral:rRNA from 1 species
GGGACGAACGCUGGCGGCGUGCUUAACACAUGCAAGUCGAGCGGAAAGGCCCUUUCGGGGUACUCGAGCGGCGAACGGGUGAGUAACACGUGAGCAACCUGCCCCUGGCUCUGGGAUAGCCUCCGGAAACGGGGAUUAAUACCGGACAUGACCCUUGACCGCAUGGUUGGGGUGGAAAGUUUUUCGGCCAGGGUGGGCUCGCGGCCUAUCAGCUUGUUGGGGGGUGACGGCCCACCAAGGCGACGACGGGUAG